rnacentral:SRP_RNA from 1 species
GCUGGGCAUGGUGGUGCAUGCCUGUAAUCCCAGCACUUUGGAAGGCUGAGGUGGGACAAUUGCUUGAGCCCAGGAGUUCUAGACUAGCCUGGGCCACAUAGUGAGACCCCAUCUCUA